UACGAAGGGUGCAACCGUUGCUCGGAAUCAUUGGGCGUAAAGCGCACGUAGGCGGCUCCACAAGUCGGAUGUGAAAUCCCUCGGCUCAACCGAGGACGUGCAUCCGAAACUGCGGAGCUUGAGUAUGGAAGAGGGUCGCGGAAUCCCCGGUGUAGAGGUGAAAUUCGUAGAUAUCGGGAGGAACACCAGUGGCGAAGGCGGCGACCUGGGCCAAUACUGACGCUGAGGUGCGAAAGCGUGGGGAGCAAACAGG
rnacentral:rRNA from 1 species